rnacentral:lncRNA from 7 species
GGCGGAGCGUUUCGGGCCGUUCCGAGCGCUCGGCGCUCCGCUCACCUCCCCCGGCGCCCCCGAUUUCACUGCAGCUCGAAAGCGCUGCGUGUCGCUGCGGUGGGAGCUGAGCCCCCGUCCCGCACAGUGCGCUCCGUCGGGGGCACAAAGCGGAGUUAAGGCCGUACGUCACCGCACCCAGAGGUCGGCUGCUGCCUUUAAAGGAAGCGAGUCCUGGGCUCCUCUGCCCGGACGGGAGUAGCGGCUGACUGAUCCCAAGCCAUCAAAGCUAAGCCAAAAAAGAAAAGAGCUUUGUCCCUCCUCCCCCGCCUCUCCCUCCGACAGCUGAGCAGCUGGAGCUAAGCAAAGCAGGGAGAAAAAGAGAGCGGCCGCACUGAGAGAAAGCCGAGAGCUCUUUUGUUCGUCCCCGAGCCAUCCCGGGAAUGGGCUGAAUUUGUUGUUUCAACGUUUUCUCAUCCAUCUGUUGGAAAAUGGGUGAGCUGGUCCCUGAUGGGCUGAGAGAUGGCCCUGUCCUGGGAAUUCCCUACCAGCUGUGUUCCGUGGGAAACUCGGACGUACUGCAGCAUCUCAACACAGCACGACUGGUCUGGACCAGCGAGGACAAAGCUGGGAAGCAGCCAGCAGCCCUUCAGGAGUUGGGAGAGGACAACAGCAGGGCAGGAUAGCAAACUGGGGACCUUGCAUCGUGCCCCAUGCGCUGCCUCCCUACCUGAUCCCUGCCACUGCUCCCAGUGCCACCACCUGCAACAGCUGCGGGGCUGGGAAACUCCACUUGCCCGGAGCCUGAUAAAUUAUACCUUAGUCC